rnacentral:lncRNA from 1 species
CCAAUUUCAUCCUCAAAAAUCUCAACCUGAUAAUUCAUCUUUUCAUUUCAAUUUCUGCUGAAUAAUAACUCAUUCUUGAUCAGACAUGGCUCGUACCAAGCAAACUGCUCGCAAAUCCACCGGCGGUAAGGCACCACGGAAGCAGCUAGCUACCAAGGCAGCCCGCAAAUCAGCCCCUGCUACUGGUGGAGUCAAGAAGCCUCACCGCUUCCGCCCCGGGACAGUCGCUCUCCGUGAAAUUCGCAAGUACCAGAAAUCUACUGAGCUUCUCAUCCGCAAACUGCCCUUCCAGAGGUUGGUCCGUGAAAUUGCGCAGGACUUUAAGACUGAUCUGAGAUUCCAGAGCUCAGCUGUGGCGGCACUCCAAGAGGCUGCCGAGGCUUACCUGGUUGGGCUUUUUGAGGAUACUAAUUUAUGUGCCAUUCAUGCUAAGAGGGUUACUAUUAUGCCUAAGGAUAUUCAGUUGGCCAGGAGGAUUCGGGGUGAAAGGGCAUAGUUUCAAUUCUUGCUUGCUUGGAAGGGUUGUUUAGUUUUUGUAGACUUGUAUUGAUUAUGAAGGAUUUGUGAUUCUAUCCUCUUAUGUUCACCUUCUCAAUGAAAUUUGAGCUUUACUGUUAUAAUCCCAUUUGCAUUCUUAUUCGAGUUUGAGUAAUCUUUGUUCAGAAAACAAAAUUAAUUUGAGUUUCGCUUUACAGGAGUUAUUAGCCCCCGACCCGGGGUUAUCUUUGCUUGCAUCCUCAAGUGACCUGGCCCAAAUGGUUCACUGACGGGGCUUGCCUUGAAUAAAAGGGAUCAGCGUUUGGACCAUGAAGCACUAUAGUAGUAAUAACUCUUCUUUAUAUAUAGCUAUAACCUCAUUGUUCAUUUUCUUCUGUACUCUACCUGCAGCAACUAAGACCAAGCAGUUAUAUUUACAUUAGUGAAAUUGGCACUUCUUUCCAGCUCCAUAUGGCCAUAUCUAUGCCGAGGGUGUUUAAUAUUUGUUAUGGCCCAAGGUAUUCUAUCCAACCAAAAAACUCCUCCUAAAGCUCCAUAUAGGAGAAUGGCCGCUGUAGCACAGGCUUGUUACCCCUCCACAGCAAUGUAGGUUUCUUAUUACAUAAUCAGGCUGUAAAUAGAAAUGUUUAUAGAUCAAUUUGGAUCACAUAUCAAACCAGUGUAAUACACAAGUAAUGCUUAAGAUGUAAUCAGACCAAUCUCUAGUUGACUGGAAAAAGAAGAAAAAUAAAAUUUGCCAAUGUCGAAUUUUGGGUUUAGUCACAGGCGAAUUCUGUACGUUCAUCUAUAAGAGUCUGUGUACCUUGAAUAUUUUGUGCUCAAUACCACGUCUUAGUGACAUCUAGUGUUCAAGUGUCUCAUUGGCUGACCUUUUCAGGUGAGAUGGGAUGAAAUGGAAUGU